UACGUAGGGGGCAAGCGUUGUCCGGAUUUAUUGGGCGUAAAGCGCUCGCAGGUGGCCCGAUGCGUCGUGCGUGAAAGACCCCGGCUCAACUGGGGGGUGUCGUGCGAUACGGUCGGGCUGGAGGCCAGUAGGGGGAUGCGGAAUUCCGGGUGUAGUGGUGGAAUGCGUAGAGAUCCGGAGGAACACCAGCGGCGAAGGCGGCAUCCUGGACUGGUCCUGACACUCAUGAGCGAAAGCGUGGG
rnacentral:rRNA from 1 species